CAGCGAGUGUUCCCGCCUGAAAGCCGAGUUUGGUUUCAAGCCACCCUGGACAACUGCUGUAUGAGGCGCCGUUUCUCGGGAGGACCAGUGGGAAGGCGCCAGGUCAUGCAGAUGGUAGCAGCAAUUUCACAAUGCCCAGCCUUGGCGCCCCCCAUCAAGAGCAAGCCACUUGCGUUCGCCUUCAGACAGAUGGUUAAUGUCUUCUUGAAAGCGGUUGAGAAGACAACAUUGAUGCAAGAUUCCAGCAAUGCCAUGCGCUGCAUUUAUUGGUCAAGAUGCUCAGAGAAUGGAGUCCCUGCACCUCGUGGUUAACCGUGAACAUUUCUUUUUCUUUUGGAAAGCUAAAGGCCAUUUGCUGCAUCACUUGCAUUUUUGCAGCUCAGAUGUGUACUAUAUUUUUCUAAUUUUGAAUCAAUAUUGGCUGUUCAGUAUAAAAAAUGACGUACAGCGUGAAGGACAAGGACUGCGAGAGACACACUCCACUGACUUUCAACAAUAUUUUAUUGCGUUGCCACAUCGUGUGUGUAUACACAGAGGGGUCAUGCGCAGAAAAUGAAAGCCAGUCACAAGGGGUGUUCUAACAGCAAGUCAUUGUACA